rnacentral:rRNA from 1 species
GCAAGUCGAACGAGAAAGCUCUUCGGAGUGAUUAAAGUGGCGCACGGGUGAGUAACACGUAGGUGACCUACCUUUUUGUGGGGGACAACUAGAAGAAAUUCUAGCUAAUACCGCAUGAGUAACUCAAAUUUGAAAGUAGAGUUAGAAAGAAUGCCUCUUUGCAAUGCAUUCGCAAGAAGAUGGGCCUGCGGGACAUUAGCUUGAUGGUGGGGUAAUGGCCUACCAUGGCGACGAUGUCUAGCGGAUCUGAGAGGAUGAUCCGUCACACUGGAACUGAGACACGGUCCAGACUCCUACGGGAGGCAGCAGUGGGGAAUAUUGCGCAAUGGGCGAAAGCCUGACGCAGCAACGCCGCGUGAGUGAGGAAGGCCUUCGGGUUGUAAAGCUCUGUCAAUGUAGAAAAACAGCUUAUCAUCUAAUAGGUGUUAAGUUUGAUGGUAUACAUAAAGGAAGCACCGGCUAACUUCGUGCCAGCAGCCGCGGUAAUACGAAGGGUGCAAGCGUUGUUCGGAUUUAUUGGGCGUAAAGCGGGUGCAGGCGGAUAAGUAAGUCAGAUGUGAAAUCUCGGGGCUCAACCCCGAAACUGCGUCUGAAACUACUUGUCUAGAAUCUCAAAGAGGGAAGUGGAAUUUCGCAUGUAGGAGUAAAAUCCGUAGAGAUGCGAAGGAACACCAGAGGCGAAGGCGGCUUCCUGGUUGAGAAUUGACGCUGUAGCCGAAAGCGUGGGGAGCAAACAGGAUUAGAUACCCUGGUAGUCCACGCCGUAAACGAUGUGCACUAGAUUUGGGGGGAAUUGACCCCUUCCGAGUCAAAGCUAACG